UCUAGUGUCUUGAUUUGGGAAUGCACUCCACAUUUAGACAGAACGGCCUGGAGAAAGACAUGACCAAGAGGCUACAGGAUCUAACUGUUUUUGGGGCUCAUCCAGGAUUGUCAACUGGAGGUGAAAUUGUCAAUUGGAGAAAUUGGCCCAGUCGGCAGGAUCAGCGAGGGGCACCACGCGGAGCAGCGGUGACUGAACUUCGAGGACGCUCCUCAGAGAGAAUUUCUCGACUGAGCUGGAGAAAGAGGGAAACCCACAAGAAUACGGGAAAGUACCUAACCAGGGAGUGAUGUCCCGCUUGACUCAAAGUGGUGGUGUGCUCCGCCUGAUCUAACGAACUGAAAGCCUCUCCAGCCUUCAUCCUGCAUCAAAUGUUGUCUCUCCCGAAGUCAGCACCAACACCAGAGGAGCACAACUGUUCCUCAAUGAUCUUUGUACAAUCAUGCUGUAGGUAUGAUUUAGCUUUGGAACAUGUAUCACACAUUUUUGUUGAUGGCUCCUGUUCCAAACCGAGUGAUGGCAUCUACGUAUGGGACUAUGCUGUGUGUACAUUGUGGAAUGCAAUUCUUGAAGCCCAAUCUCUUCCCUAUACCUCGGCUCAGGGGGCUGAGCUGGUAAGUCUGAUUUGCACAUGUACUUUGUUCUAGGAGAAACCCGUCACUAUUCGCAGACAGUCAAUACGCAUUUUGGCGUACAUUUGUGAAAAAAGGUAGCUCGAAGACACAAUAUACUCGCUAUCAACAAGCCUUAAUGUACUUAUAGGAAAAACACAAUCACUGCUGCUUUACUGCCAAGCAUUUAGUCUGUAAUAAUGAGCUUAGAUCUUCUCAGCCAAAUUCUGCUGUCUGUGCUUCUUUGCUACUUUGUCACUGAGGCUUUUCAAGUGCGUGAGGUGGUGGUGGUGGUAGAGUGCUCAAGCACCUACCCCUUGAUGCCAUUUUCAAUUUAAAUUAAAAAAAUUAUCUUUCUUGCCAGAUGAACAGUUUGCCCCAUGUUCAAGAAAAAAAUGUUUAAAUGAAUAAUAAUUUCUAAGUUUAAAAGUCCCUGAUUACUGGCCCCCUUAUGCUGCAGCCACAGCUGAUCACUUGCAUUCUGGUUGGUGCUAGAUAUGGUGAAUUUUUAUUUUAAAACAUCAAAUUUUGAUGGUCCGCUUAUUUACUCGUUAUAUUUACCUGAUAUAGUAUUAACUGGGGAAAUAAGCAAUAUAUAAAAAUCGAACCUGCAAGAAUCUUCUGCUAAUCAGCAUUUGACAGUGUUCAGUUCUUUUUAUUAGCACUUUGUUGUCAGUUGGAUGUUAAAGCUGUUUACAGUUCAGUACCUUGGUUUGUCCUUGACCUGAUGGAUCAUUUUGGCAAUCUAUUUUAUGCGAUGAUUGAGUAAUUUAGGCGAGUAACUUAAGCCAGCAUUGUUACCACAAUAUCCAGCUGCCUAUUUGCAGUACAGUGACUAGCCAGCUAGCAAGUAAACUGCCUCAUUACCGUAACAUCUGCCAACACACCACCUUUGCUGUUAGCUCUAGUUAGGCAAGCUGAAAUAAGCUACACACCAUCAAAUGCAUAUGCAAAACAUACCUAUAAUUGCACAACAAAUCAUUAGUCAUAGCUAAAGUACAUACAUGCAUUAACAAACUUUAUAACAAGCUUUUAAAGGGGGCCCAAUUAGCAAAUUUAAUAUAAAGUUCCAUUUCCUUUUCAAAGGCAAAAAAAAAAAGUCCUUUUACUUGAGAAUUUACAUUUUGUGAACAUAAAACUUAACCAUUAAAAACAUCAUAUUUAUCAUAUCUACAUGUACAUACUUAGCUCUAUGAUUUUCAAAAUCAUGCAGGUUUCUACAGUAACAAGUACUGUUCAUAAAGUUGUGCUCUUUUGUCCACCGUAGUAGAUGGAAUGGUAAGAAAAGUGAAUAACUAGAUAUUUUUACAACUACCAUCAUUGCCGAUCCUUUUACAUAGAUAAACAAUUAGUAGCAUUGCUUUAAAAUAAAUAUUCAAGUAGAAGUAAAAGUAGUCAUUUAAAUUAGUACUUAAUUAAAAGUAAGAAAUCUGUUUGUUUUUUUAAGUAUCUGUACAUAUCUGUUGAAAAGACUACUCAAGUACUGAGUUACUUCUUCAAAACUCAUUUAAUAACACUGAGUAACAAUAUAUAUUUUUGUGCAAACUCAAAUAUGGGGUCCUCAUAGAUCUUUUUAUGCUGAAUUCAAAUCUGUUGUAUGUAUUUCUCUCAGGCAUGGUUUUUGG